rnacentral:misc_RNA from 1 species
UUGAUAAAUGUAGAUAAAACGAUUGGGAAUAAUCCGAGAUUUCAACCAAAUCCGACUGAAAAACGGUUAUUUUGACCUUUGUAUUCAGUCGAAAUUGGAUUUUUUUUCGAUUGUCUAAAGACGGAAAGUACAUUGUAUUCGAAGGCCAAUACCUUAUGAUAAAAAGAUGCCCAAGGAUUUUUUUAGGUCUUCACCUGUAAUGAGAGGAUAAAAUUUUGGAAUCCUUUUUAUGGCGUCCGCUUUUUCAG